UUUAUUAAAUUUUAAAAUUAAAAUAUAAUUAACUGGGGUAGUUAUUUUAGUUAAAUUAAUAUGAAUUUAAACAAAUUAAUGGUAAUUGUUCCUUUAUAUAAGGGAAUAUAUAAAUAGUUACUUUAGGGAUAACAGCAUAAUAUUUUUGGAGAGAUCUUAUUGAUAGAAAUGAUUGUGACCUCGAUGUUGAAUUAAAAAAACUUUAUAAAGCAGCAUAUAUAUAUAGUAGGUUUGUUCAACCUUUAAAAUUUUACAUGAUCUG
rnacentral:rRNA from 1 species